rnacentral:rRNA from 1 species
UAAGGAAUAUUGGACAAUGGCCGCAAGGCUGAUCCAGCCAUCCAGCGUGCAGGAAGAAGGCCCUAUGGGUUGUAAACUGCUUUUGUCAGGGAAGAAACCUUGGGAUUUACUCCUGAGCUGACGGUACCUGAAGAAUAAGCACCGGCUAACUCCGUG